GAUGAAGAACGUAGCGAAAUGCGAUAAGUAAUGUGAAUUGCAGAAUUCAGUGAAUCAUCGAAUCUUUGAACGCACAUUGUGCCCGCCAGUAUUCUGGCGGGCAUGCCUGUCUGAGCGUCAUUUCAACCCUCAGCCCCCGCUCGCGGGGCGCUGGCGUUGGGGAUCGGCCGUCCUCGCGGCGGCCGGCCCCGAAACACAGUGGCGGUCUCUCGCGGACUCCCCUGCGUAGUAGCACUACCUCGCAGAAGGGACGAGCGGGCUGACCACGCCGUAAAACCCCCCACUUCUCCAGGUUGACCUCAGAUCAGGUAGGAAUACCCGCUGAACUUAAGCAUAUCAAUAAGCGGAGGA
rnacentral:misc_RNA from 1 species